GCUAGUUGGUAGGGUAAUGGCCUACCAAGGCAAAGACGGGUAGGGGGCGUGAGAGCGUGACCCCCCACACUGGCACUGGGACACGGGCCAGACUCCUACGGGAGGCAGCAGUGAGGAAUAUUGCGCAAUGAGCGAAAGCUAGACGCAGCAACGCCGCGUGGGUGAUGAAGGCCUUCGGGUCGUAAAACCCUUUUCUGGGGGAAGAGUAAGGACGGUACCCCAGGAAUAAGCCUCGGCUAACUAUGUGCCAGCAGCCGCGGUAAUACAUAGGAGGCAAGCGUUAUCCGGAUUUACUGGGCGUAAAGAGCGUUGAGGCGGCUUCGUAAGUUGGACGUGAAAGCUCCCGGCUUAACUGGGAGAGGCCGUUCAAUACUGCGGGGCUUGAGGACAGCAGAGGGGGGUGGAAUUUCCGGUGUAGUGGUGAAAUGCGUAGAUAUCGGAAGGAACACCAGUGGCGAAGGCGGCCCCCUGGGCUGCUCCUGACGCUGAAGGCGAAAGCUAGGGUAGCGAACGGGAUUAGAAACCCCGGUAGUCCUAGCCGUAAACGAUGGAUACUAGGCGUAGGAGGUUAAAAUUCCUUCUGUGCCGGAGCUAACGCGUUAAGUAUCCCGCCUGGGGAGUACGGUCGCAAGGCUAAAACUCAAAGGAAUUGACGGGGGCCCGCACAAGCAGCGGAGCGUGUGGUUUAAUUCGAUGCAACGCGAAGAACCUUACCAGGGCUUGACAUGUAGGUAGUAGUGAAGCGAAAGCGGAGCGAUCCUUCGGGAAGCCUACACAGGUGCUGCAUGGCUGUCGUCAGCUCGUGCCGUGAGGUGUUAGGUUAAGUCCUGUAACGAGCGCAACCCCUGCCGUUAGUUACAAGUGUCUAACGGGACUGCCCGGCAAAACUGGGAGGAAGGUGGGGAUGACGUCAAGUCAGCAUGGCCUUUAUGUCCUGGGCUACACACACGCUACAAUGGCCGGUACAAUGGGUUGCCAAGCCGCGAGGCGGAGCCAAUCCUCUAAAGCCGGUCUCAGUUCGGAUUGUAGGCUGCAACCCGCCUGCAUGAAGUUGGAGUUGCUAGUAACCGCAGGUCAGCCACACUGCGGUGAUACGUUCCCGGGCCUUGUACACACCGCCCGUCACGUCAUGGAAGCUGGUAACACCUGAAGCCGGUGAGCUAACCGCA
rnacentral:rRNA from 1 species